rnacentral:rRNA from 1 species
GGUUAAGCGACUAAGCGUACACGGUGGAUGCCCUGGCAGUCAGAGGCGAUGAAGGACGUGCUAAUCUGCGAAAAGCGUCGGUAAGGUGAUAUGAACCGUUAUAGCCGGCGAUGUCCGAAUGGGGAAACCCAGUGCAAUUCGUUGCACUAUCGUUAACUGAAUACAUAGGUUAACGAGGCGAACCGGGGGAACUGAAACAUCUAAGUACCCCGAGGAAAAGAAAUCAACCGAGAUUCCCCCAGUAGCGGCGAGCGAACGGGGAGCAGCCCAGAGUCUGAAUCAGCUUGUGUGUUAGUGGAACGGUCUGGAAAGUCCGACGGUACAGGGUGAUAGUCCCGUACACCAAAAUGCACAGGCUGUGAACUCGAAGAGUAGGGCGGGACACGUGGUAUCCUGUCUGAAUAUGGGGGGA